UAUUUAAAGUGUUGGAUGAGUUAAUGAACUAAAUAUAGUGUACUAACCUAAAUUCAUUAAUGGUUCAUUGUUCCCACCAUGACAUAAGAUUUGAUUUAUUAUAUAUACACAUGGUCAAUCAUAUAUCAGGAUAAUAUGGUCAAAGUUAAAAGGAGCUCAAGUAAAAUAUGGAGCAUCAGUGAAGUCACUAGAGACACUGUUUACAUGGAUCAUUCAGGGAACAGGAAGUUAUAAAGGAAACAGGAAGUUCAGGGUUCUUUCUCUAAUCUGCACACAGCAAGCAGCAACAGAAAUGUAAGUUCCUGUACUGAAGUUAAGGUUUAGCAUUAGCAUGUAGCUUAGCAUUAGCAACAACUUGUAUUAGUUUAUUGUUUGAAUUUAUACAGAACUUUGGUAAUGACUAAACUUCUUGUGUCUUGUAGUUUUCACUCCUUCAAUCUGGUGAAGAAAUGAAAAGAGGAGAUCAUCUCUUUGCUCCCUUCAGAGCACUUCCUGUUGAUAAAUCCAGAGCUACAGAUUCACAGAUAUAAGAAGACCGAGGAGUUCAGAUGAAAAGAAACAAAGCUACAUGGACAGACAGCAUCGUUAACAAAAACAGGCCAAUCAGAGUCCACAUUUUGAAGGUCUCGGUCUGGGACUAGAAGGUAAAAACAUCAAAUAACUUCAGUCCCCGGUUACGACCACAACCUUCCUGGUGUUACGCUCCAACUGUUUGUACAGGUUGCUCCUCCUCGUAUUUGAUCCGCUCGUGGCAACAAUAUUAUUUGACUUUUCUUUCACAAAGGUCAUUGCUGAGUCCAGCCAGUGAGGCUCCAAACCUCCAUGGAAAUGUGAACAAAAUGAGAGAAGAUGCCGCUUUGAGGCGAACACACACAGACUGCACUGAUGGGACGCAGCUCGGUGAAGGACCGUCUCCCCCCUGGUCAACAGAAGAGAGAGAGAGAGAGAGAGAGAGAGAUUACAGCAUCUGACAAC